UGGGGAAUAUUGCACAAUGGGCGCAAGCCUGAUGCAGCCAUGCCGCGUGUAUGAAGAAGGCCUUCGGGUUGUAAAGUACUUUCAGCGGGGAGGAAGGUGUUGUGGUUAAUAACCACAGCAAUUGACGUUACCCGCAGAAGAAGCACCGGCUAACUCCGUGCCAGCAGCCGCGGUAAUACGGAGGGUGCAAGCGUUAAUCGGAAUUACUGGGCGUAAAGCGCACGCAGGCGGUUUGUCAAGUCGGAUGUGAAAUCCCCGGGCUCAACCUGGGAACUGCAUCCGAAACUGGCAGGCUUGAGUCUUGUAGAGGGGGAUAGAAUUCCAGGUGUAGCGGUGAAAUGCGUAGAGAUCUGGAGGAAUACCGGUGGCGAAGGCGGCCCCCUGGACAAAGACUGACGCUCAGGUGCGAAAGCGUGGGGAGCAAACA
rnacentral:rRNA from 1 species